AACAACAAAAAUUGCCGCAUUCGUCUCACUCAUCCGCAUUGCAAAAAAUAAAUAGGGGGAGGGGGGUUUCACAGUGGGUGUGUGCAGGUGAUUAUCUAAUCACAGUGCUGUGAAAUUAAUAUCAUCAUUUCAAGGACACCGAACAAAAGGUAUGCCAGUUAUUUAUAUUUUUAUGCUGGUGAUUCUGUGAUUUAACCACCCACCACCCACUCAUAAUCCACCCCCUUUCUCCCUUUGGUUAGAUAUUGUGUUGCGGUUUCGUUGCACUUUAACCUUGAAAAUAUUGUGCAUUCUUUUGUUUUUGUUGCUGGCAUUACUGCGAUUUGCGCAUGUGCAAAAACGAGUGCGAUUCCCACCCCACAAGCGAGAGUGAGAAAAGGCGAUUGAACCGCUCCCACUCCGAAAAAAAAAACACUUAACCGAUUCCCACUGUACAGUCAAGUCGUUUGCCAUUUUGGCAGUUAAUAAUCGUAAAUUAUAAAUCAAUUUUAAAAUUCACUCAAGCACACGAGAAAACAACAAAAAUAAAAGCGAAAAGCUCCUGCCCCAUGGCUUACAUCAUCUAGUGUACAAAAGGGUUAACGAACCCAAAGGUCAAAUGCUUUUUACCCAGACUCAGACGUCGACGUCGACGCAGGCAGAGGCGCAGCCACGAUGAGGCAAUGCAAAUUCAACUGCAGCCAAAUGAUGUUGCUGAUGAUGUCAUGGCUACCAGGAAAAAAAGGAACAGAACUAGCAAAAAACUACCAUUUGUCCUGUGGCGAAAAUCAAUAAGCCCCAUAAGCUGAACAACAAUUAAAAGUGGAGAACUUUUAAGUUGAAAAUCCAGCCGAGCAGGAAGCGCAAAAGACAGAUCCUUUGAGGACACCUCUUUGUGGCAGACAGAGGGAUCAGGACACGUCGAUAGGAAGCGGCUUAAAUCCAUAAUCCUGUGGGCGACACAUUACCUUGACGACAGUUCCGUACGGAACAACAACAAACACGACCUACGACAAAGCGAUUGAAAAUGCGCAUAAAUUCGACAAAGGAGCAGCCAGUGUCUGCCUCCCAUUGGCGAAAAGGGGGCGGGGCAGAUUGGUUGCCAGACCAUGACAACAACAAAAAAGUCAAAGUAAAAAAAACACACUCGCACAGGGCAGAAAAAAAAUACAAAUACAACAAAAAUAAGGGCCAGACAACAGAAAAGGCGAACGACCCUUUUCAGGCAUUUGCAGACGCCAGACGACGCCGUCAAUGUAGAUAACUAAACAAUCUUUUAAGGGUCCUAUAAAGAAACUUUGGAACCGAAAUGAUCUAUAGAUCUAUAUUUGAUUCCCUGAAAUGCAAUACCACCGAGGGAUAAAACAAUCACAUAAAAACAAUCUCUAAAACUCAUCUCUUCAGAUCCUUUAUAGGAACUUUGGAACUUAUAUGAUCUAUAUUUAUUUAUCUAUAAUGUUGUACCCAUCACUGACUUUCGUAAUAAUUGAAAACUUUUAGAAUGGCUUCCCAUUUUUGACCAGUGCCUUCCGUACUGUUGGGGCAGGGCCCAGGCUUCGAGCUCAGUCGACUUCGGCUCAUUAUCCUUUUCGCUUUCCAUACAUAAAUCGCUGGCGCUGCGGCUGGCGUUCAAUGAACUCCGCCGGGCACGUACGGUCGUCGUACCCGGGAUAAUGGAUACACACCCAAUACGGAAAGCGAAACACACACAGGACGAUGACGAUGACGACGACGCUGGCGUUGACGGUGGCAGCGACUGUGGCUGAGGAGUCCACUUUGGCAGCGGCAGCGACGCAGGCAGCAGACAGACGCGAAGGUCCUGCGAAACUUGGGCUGGGUUCGCAGCUCCUUUUUGGUCCUCUCGUGAACGUGGACUUGACAGUGUGCAGCGUGGAAA